rnacentral:lncRNA from 1 species
GGCCAGUGAACAGGCCAGAGGUGGAGGGCCGGGCUUGUGGCCCACAGGCAGGCAGGGUCCUCAGGUUGUGGCCCUGAGUGCCAUUGGAGGCUUGCCAGCCAUGCGGGGCCUCAGGGGGUGGGGUAGGGUGGGGCCCUGGGGCCUGGGAGGAGCCUCCCUGAGCUGAUUACCAGGAAGCCUGAGGACUUGGUGCUAAGAGGUCACCUCUUUCCAGGAAGCAGAACUACUGUGCACGUGAAAUGCCCCAGGAGGUCUGAGCCGGGAUCCUGCCCAGCACCCAGCUUUUGCUUGCAUGCCCUUUCCAGGGGGCCUCAUCCUUCCCAUCUGACCUCUUGGCCAGCCCCCUGCCUAGGAGUGAAGGCAGAGACGUCUCCCCCCGGGAUCCUUCUCCCUCCCCUGAAGAGGACCAAGAGCGGGGCCAGGCAGGGAGGCCGAGGGAAUGGUCCCCGGACCCCCAAGACCUCCAUGGCGGGUGAGUGCAGGGCAGCCCCGUUCUCGACACCGUCAGCAAGGGUGGUUGUUAAAAAAGAUAGAGUACAGUAGUAAUAACACUGGCCUGCCCUCUUCUGGGUUUUGGACUGCUUCAUUAGCUCCUUUUCAUCUCUAGCAACAACUUCCCCCCAACUUGCUGCCCUCCUGGUUUGAUUUUUAAGUUGUCCCUCAUCACACCUGACUGUCCAAGAAAGCCAUUUCAUUUAUUAUCCUCUGUUACAUAUAGACCAUUUCUUUGCUUUCUUUUUUGUAUUCCUAACACCCCCCCGCCCCAACACACACACACACACACACACACAUACACACACACACACACACACACACACACACACACACACACACACACUCUCUCUCUCUCUGCCUUGUAGCAACUGAAGGUCAAGGAAAAGCCCCCCCCCCAACCUGGUCUGGACUGAGCAGAGCCCCGACAUCUUCCCCAGCUGUUUUCCUUUGCAGUCUUGCAGUCACAGCAAACAUGAUCCAUUUACUCUGCCUCAGUUCACACAAGUCUUCCCAGGUCUCUCAAUCCCUCCCAUUUACCAUUUCUUAGUUCAAGUCAAAAAGCAUUUAGAAAGUGGCUCCUCUGUGCCAGGCCCUGUUCAAACCUCCUGUGGAUACAAAGGAAGGAGAAAUCAGCCCCAUCCUUCAAGGAGCUCACAGUCUGAUGUGGGAGACAACAUUUAGGCAUCUGUGUCCAUAAAAGCUAGAGACACUGUAGUGGGGAGGGGAAGGAUCCAGCAGUUUCAGGGACCAGGAAAGGGUUUUUUUUAGAAAGUGAGGUUUGAGCUGAGAUUUGAAGGAAGCCAGCAGGUGGAGGUGAGGAGAGAGAACAUUCCAAGCGUGAGAGAUGACCAUUGGAAAGGCCCAGAGUCAGGACACAGAGGGUCUUAAGCAAAUAUCAGCCAGGAGGUCUGUGUCAGGGUGAGAGGAGGUGGAGGAGGGAGCGAGGGGUUAGCAGAGAGGAAGGUGGGUGGGCCUAGUCAGAUGGCGCCUUGUGUGUUCCAUAAAUAUUAUCUUCUUUGAUCCUCUUGCAAGCAUUUUCAGGGUCCUU